UACGGGGGAUGCAAGCGUUAUCCGGAUUUAUUGGGUUUAAAGGGUGCGUAGGCUGUGAGGUAAGUCAGCGGUGAAAUGCCCCCGCUCAACGGGGUGAAGUGCCAUUGAUACUGCCUUGCUGGAAUGCGGAUGCCGUGGGAGGAAUGUGUGGUGUAGCGGUGAAAUGCAUAGAUAUCACACAGAACACCGAUUGCGAAGGCAUCUCACGAAUCCGCUAUUAACGCUGAUGCACGAAAGCGUGGGUAUCAAACAGG
rnacentral:rRNA from 1 species